rnacentral:rRNA from 2 species
UACACAUGCAGUCGAGCGGGGAAGGUAGCUUGCUACCUGACCUAGCGGCGGACGGGUGAGUAAUGCUUAGGAAUCUGCCUAUUAGUGGGGGACAACAUUCCGAAAGGAAUGCUAAUACCGCAUACGCCCUACGGGGGAAAGCAGGGGAUCUUCGGACCUUGCGCUAAUAGAUGAGCCUAAGUCAGAUUAGCUAGUUGGUGGGGUAAAGGCCUACCAAGGCGACGAUCUGUAGCGGGUCUGAGAGGAUGAUCCGCCACACUGGGACUGAGACACGGCCCAGACUCCUACGGGAGGCAGCAGUGGGGAAUAUUGGACAAUGGGNGAAANCCUGAUCCAGCCAUGCCGCGUGUGUGAAGAAGGCCUUUUGGUUGUAAAGCACUUUAAGCGAGGAGGAGGCUACUNGGAUUAAUACUCUAGGAUAGUGGACGUUACUCGCAGAAUAAGCACCGGCUAACUCUGUGCCAGCAGCCGCGGUAAUACAGAGGGUGCGAGCGUUAAUCGGAUUUACUGGGCGUAAAGCGUGCGUAGGCGGCUUUUUAAGUCGGAUGUGAAAUCCCUGAGCUUAACUUAGGAAUUGCAUUCGAUACUGGGAAGCUAGAGUAUGGGAGAGGAUGGUAGAAUUCCAGGUGUAGCGGUGAAAUGCGUAGAGAUCUGGAGGAAUACCGAUGGCGAANGCAGCCAUCUGGCCUAAUACUGACGCUGAGGUACGAAAGCAUGGGGAGCAAACAGGAUUAGAUACCCUGGUAGUCCAUGCCGUAAACGAUGUCUAC